CCGAAGGUGUUUAGCUCCUUUGUGGCGCA
rnacentral:piRNA from 1 species